rnacentral:rRNA from 1 species
UACGAAGGGGGCUAGCGUUGCCCGGAAUCACUGGGCGUAAAGGGUGCGUAGGCGGGUCUUUAAGUCAGGGGUGAAAUCCUGGAGCUCAACUCCAGAACUGCCUUUGAUACUGAGGAUCUUGAGUACGGGAGAGGUGAGUGGAACUGCGAGUGUAGAGGUGAAAUUCGUAGAUAUUCGCAAGAACACCAGUGGCGAAGGCGGCUCACUGGCCCGGUACUGACGCUGAGGUACGAAAGCGUGGGGAGCAAACAGG